AUGCCUUAAACUAAUGAGUAAGGAAAAUAGCAGGUCGGUUUGAUUUACCGAUCCCCAGGAUAUCUCAGAUAUUGUUUGUGGGGUACAGGCUGCCCCGUUGUGUCCCCUACUUAGGGAUGUGACGGUGCUAGCGGCCUGCCCU
rnacentral:snRNA from 1 species